rnacentral:lncRNA from 1 species
AAAUAAAAAAAUAAGCAGAGUGUGGGGUGUACACACCUGUAACCCCAAAGCUUGGGAGAAGAAAAGAGGGGGAUCUGGAGCUCAAGACAAGCCAGCCACGACUACGUAAUAGAGUUUGGAAAAUCCGGGGUUACACAAGAGCAUCUCAAGAAACAAUAAGACUAGUUUGCGAUCACAUGACAGACUUUCACCUGUGUCCACCUUGUGGAGAUGGUACACUGUGCUUGUGUACGUCACAUGCUGAAGGAUGAAAUUCAGGACCUUCCGAUGUCUGGUGGAAAUGGUCAGCUGCCUCUGGCCUCUGCCCUGAACCUCAUCGUCUGGCACAUCAGCAAGGGUGUUCAGUGUCCCCAGAGAAGCUUUCAGGAUGACCUAGACGGGACAUUAGAAGUACACAUAUUAUUGUACAGCUGUCAGUCACCCCUAUCCAUCUCUAGAAGCUCUUUAUCCUACCCAAUAAAACGUUAUUCCC